UCAAGGGGGCGUGGCCCAACGCGGAAGUGACGUCAAUGUAUACCUUCUAUUAGGAGAAAGAUACCGGUGAAAUCCCGAUGGGUUGAGAGCGGAUUUUAUGGAAUGACUUGGUUUCCCCACAGUGGACUUUGUCUUCCCUUAAGUGUUGUUAAGAUCGCAGCAAACUUUGCCUCCGACAACCAGAAACAUCCCAAGAAGCGAUCGGAAUAGUUAUGCAGCUUCAUCAAAAGCUGAAAUUGGUUCCACUGAUAACUGCUCGCAGCCAGGUUUGUGGAUUAUUUGGAGAGGAAUGAACACUAAUUCUGGAGGCGAAUGUUGCACGCGUCUUUCUCCUCUUUUUUAACGUCCGCACACAUCCGAGGAAACGGGUUGCAGCCUGCGGUGGAGCCUCCUUCGUUAUUCCGCGAGCAAAGCAGGGUUCAGCCCCGGACUAUCAUCAGCCGGUGUCAUGUGGGACGCACAUGAGCGUGAAUCCGGCAAAGAGAAAAUUACUGCGAUGCAUUCAGGUGUCCUCUCAGCCAUGCGUUCAGAGCGCUUCCAAGGGGCUCAGGGAGAGGCAAAGUGGAUGUGACAGGCUUAGAUUAAAUGCCAGAGACGGGGCGUUUCUCACACACACUACAGCCUCCUGGACAGCAGCCUAAUUAGGCACUUCCAUGCUCUGCCAUCAGCUCUUCCAGCAAAAAAUGCUCCUUCCAAAAACACAUUUGUUAAUGUAACAAAAUGUAACGCUGCAGUGGAUUGCUGGAGAGAUUUUCUGAAAACAGUCCAAUUAUCCCUUUGAAUUCCUUUACCGCAGAUUGAUUUCGCAGUUUUAAUAAAAAUUUACGGUGGCUGAACUGCGCUGUUGUUUGUAUUAUCUCGCUUCUCUCAUCCUCGCCCGCCUCUGGGGGAGAGAGGAGAUGCGAAGGAUCAGGUGGCCCCGCAAAUACCUGUAAGAUCAAAUGACGUUUUUUUUCUUUUUUUUUGUCGUUUUUUUGUUUUUUUUUGGGUUGCGGUUUUGUUUUUUUGCUAUCAGUUCCCGUAUUACCGUAAGAACAUGUCAGUCUGUAUCACCAAGAAGAAGGUCAGGUUUUUUUUUUUUCAUUCUUUUAGAGGCACAACAAAUACAGAUACCAUCUCCUCCUCCUCAGGUAAAACGUUCUUCUCGGAUAUUAUCACGUCAAGUAUAGGGCAGAAUUAUCCGCCGUGAUAUCUGCUCGUACGCCUCAGCGCAGACGUGCUGGACAGGGGAAUAAAUCUGAUUAUGGAGUGCGUGGGGUAAUGUUCAAUAAUAAAAAGUAUUAUUUGCCAAGAUCAAUGUGUGUCGCCAUAGCGAUAAAGUACAAUGAAUAGAAAGUGCUGGGAGCCUGCAGUAAAUUUUGAUGCGUUGUGAUAUUGAACACAUUGUGACAACAUACUGCUCGCCAGGGCUGUAAAACAUCUUCCAACAGGCUGUUGAACAUCCGCCCGCUACAUUCUUACACACCACGGCUGCCAUACA